rnacentral:rRNA from 1 species
GAUCCUGGCUCAGGACGAACGCUGGCGGCGCGCUUAACACAUGCAAGUCGUACGGAUUCGGGGCUUCGGCUCCGGGUCAGUGGCGAACGGGUGCGUAACACGUGAGCAACCUGCCUGCCGGUGGGGGAUAACCCGGGGAAACCCGGGCUAAUACCGCAUUCGCUCUUCGGCUCGAUUGGGCUGAAGAGGAAAGGUGCUGCAAGGCACUGCCGGCAGAGGGGCUCGCGGCGUAUCAGCUUGAUGGUGGGG